CGCGUUUUCGCCGCGGAAGCCAUUCUGAAACGCCGCGUUCGCAAGUCUCGCCUAGAAUACCUAGUGAAAUGGAAAGGAUGGGCACUGAAACACAGUACCUGGGAACCAGAAGAGAAUAUCCUGGAUGACAGACUGAUCGCAGGAUUUGAACAGAAGUGAGUGGAACAGUUAACCGUAUUUCAAUUCUUACACAUUAUUCAAUUCCUUUAAGAGAAGUGAUGUUUAUGACACAGUAAGAACAUUUGAGAAAUUGUCAAAAAGGGUAACACAAUUCUCUCUCCUGUUCUCUCUCAUCCCAACAUCAGUUUUCCUGUUCUCCCUCAUUUUCCCAGCCCCCCCCCCUCUCUCUCUCUCUCUCUCUCUCUGUUGCGCUCUCUCUUUCUCUCUCUCUCUCUGUUGCGCUCUCUCUCUCUCUGUUGCUCCCUCUGUUGCUCUCUCUCUCUCUCCUUGCUCCCUCUGUUGCGCUCUCUCUCCCUCUCUUUCACUCUGUCUAUAUAUAAAGGUCUUAUAUCUGUGCAAGUCCUCUCUUUGUCUCUUCCUGCCAAACACACUUCAAAGCACUCUGCUGCUUACAGGGGGAUCAUGGAACUAAAAUGAUCCCGUGUGUGUGUCUCUCUUUUCUCUCUGUUCAGUCUUAGUCAAACAAACGUCAAACUGUUAUUCUUAAGUUUUUUCUUCAUUCAGAUCCCUAUGAGCUGACGCCAUAGCAACCAACCGCUAGCUAGUCGUCCUGGGGACAUUUACAUUACAUUUACAUUACAUUUAAGUCAUUUAGCAGACGCUCUUAUCCAGAGCGACUUACAAAUUGGUGCAUUCACCUUAUGACCUCCAGUGGAACAGUAGUGCAUCUAAA